rnacentral:rRNA from 1 species
CAAAAGUAACGAAGUCCGUGAGCCAUGCGUCAAGAAAAGCCGCUAUUGUUUAUACCGUACCCGUACCGUAAACCGACACAGGUGGAUGAGGAGAGAAUCCUAAGGCCGGCGGAAGAAGCAUUGUCAAGGAACUCGGCAAAAUGGCCCCGUAACUUAGGGAUAAGGGGUGCCUCAGAAAUGAGGCCGCAGAGAAUAGGCUCAAGCAACUGUUUAGCAAAAACACAGGUCUAUGCGAAACCGAAAGGUGAGGUAUAUGGGCUGACGCCUGCCCGGUGCUGGAAGGUUAAGAGGAGAGGUUAGCGCAAGCGAAGCUUUGAAUUUAAGCCCCAGUAAACGGCGGCCGUAACAAUAACGGUCCUAAGGUAGCGAAAUUCCUUGUCGGGCAAGUUCCGACCCGCACGAAAGGCGUAAUGAUUUGAGCGCUGUCCCGACAAUGCAUCCGGUGAAAUUGAAGUACCAGUGAAGAUGCUGGUUACCUGCGCCAGGACGGAAAGACCCCAUGGAGCUUUACUCCAGUUUGGUACUGGGACUCGGUAUUGCAUGUACAGGAUAGGUGGGAGGCUAGGAGAUAGUAACGCCAGUUAUUAUGGAGCCGCUGUUGGAAUACCACCCUUGCAGUAUUGGGUUUCUAACCAGCCGCCGUGACCCGGCGGUGGGACAAUGCCAGACGGGGAGUUUGACUGGGGCGGUCGCCUCCGAAAGGGUAUCGGAGGCGCCCAAAGGUUCCCUCAGAAUGGACGGAAACCAUUCGAAGAGUGCAAAGGCAGAAGGGGGCUUGACUGCGACACCGACGGGUGGAGCAGGUACGAAAGUAGGGCUUAGUGAUCCGGUGGUAUUAAGUGGGAAUGCCAUCGCUCAACGGAUAAAAGCUACCCUGGGAUAACAGGCUUAUCACUCCCAAGAGUUCACAUCGACGGAGUGGUUUGGCACCUCGAUGUCGGCUCAUCGCAUCCUGGGGCUGUAGUAGGUCCCAAGGGUUGGGCUGUUCGCCCAUUAAAGCGGUACGCGAGCUGGGUUCAGAACGUCGUGAGACAGUUCGGUCCCUAUCCGGCGUGGGCGUAAGAUAUCUGAGAGGAGCUGUCCUUAGUACGAGAGGACCGGGAUGGACGGGCCGCUGGUGCAUCGGUUAGACUGCCAAGUCUACGGCCGAGUAGCCAAGCCCGGAAGGGAUAAACGCUGAAGGCAUCUAAGCGUGAAGCCCCCCUUAAGAUGAGAUAUCCCAUUCGAAAGAAGUAAACCCCCUUGAAGACGACGAGGUAGAUAGGGCAGAGGUGGAAGUGCAGUAAUGCAUGGAGCUGACUGUUACUAAUCGGGUGAGGGCUUGACC